GAUCUUUGAUAUAAAGGAUUUUAGAGAAGCUUUAUUUAUACUCGGUAUUGAGAUUCACAGGAAUAGUCUGUGACAUAUGAAGAUUGUCUCAAAGAGCUCCCAUUGAUUGUAUACUGAAUGGAUUGGUAUGCAUAAUUGCAAACUUGGAGAUAUACAUGUAGUCAAGGGAGAUAAAUUCAGAAAAAAUUAGUAUCCUAAAAAUAAUAUCGAAAAGAAUUCAUGAGGAAUGUGUCUUAUCCAACUACUAUGUAUAAUUUCAUGUAUGUAAAGAUUUGC
rnacentral:lncRNA from 1 species